GGCUGUGGCUCAGCGGUAAAGCACUUGCCCAGCAUGUGCAAGGCCCUGGGUUUGAUCCUCAGCACCA
rnacentral:tRNA from 1 species